UCUGGGGGUCCCUUUAUAUAGAUGGAGAGCAUAACUGAUCGACAGCGACAUCUGUAACCGUCUGGUAGUGGGCCGUUCGUGGCCACGCGGAGUUUGUUGCGGAGAGUAGUGGUGUCAGUGGGCCAUUCAGAGCCACAUGGAGUUUGUUAUGGAGAGUGGAGUGGUGUCCGUUGUCGCGACUUGCCAGAAAGUGGUGGGGCCAUGUGGAAUCUAUUAUAAAGAGUGGAGUGGGGUAGUGGCCAUUAUCGUGACUUGCCAGAGAGUUUGGGCCUGACGGCUGAAGCUCGGCUGGGACGUCUGAUGGAGUGGAAUGGCUCUCUGUCUCUGCAAUCUAAGAGAGGCUCGGAUGUUUUCGAUAUUACUGAUGAGUCCACUAUUGUCGGGUGCCUAGAGCGCUGAUGCUGCAGGUGAAAGUCAUCUGCUGUAGAAGCUCGGACAGGAACUUUCUAUUGGAGAAGUCCGAUUUCAUGAGGAAUCCGACAGAGGGUCGACCGACAGUGGAUUUCAGAUGGCGUUGUGGAGGUUCAUCUGCUGGAGGAGUCUUGAGGAUACUGUGGAAGGUUGAAUGUUGGAGGAGUCCGGGAUAUGGUUCUACUAUAG
rnacentral:lncRNA from 1 species